rnacentral:rRNA from 1 species
UCGAGCGGGUUCUUCUAGAGUAGUUCGCUACUUUUAGAAGGGCUAGCGGCGGACGGGUGAGUAACGCGUGAGCAAUCUGCCUCGUACAGGGGGAUAACAGCUGGAAACAGCUGCUAAUACCGCAUAAGACCACAGUAUCACAUGAUACAGGGGUCAAAGGACCCGCCUUCGUAAGAAGGCGAAUCCGGUACAAGAUGAGCUCGCGUCCCAUUAGCUAGUUGGUGAGGUAAAGGCCCACCAAGGCAUCGAUGGGUAGCCGACCUGAGAGGGUGAUCGGCCACAUUGGGACUGAGACACGGCCCAAACUCCUACGGGAGGCAGCAGUGGGGAAUAUUGCGCAAUGGGGGAAACCCUGACGCAGCAACGCCGCGUGAGUGAAGAAGGCCUUCGGGUCGUAAAACUCUGUCUUUGGGGAAGAAAAAAAUGACGGUACCCAAGGAGGAAGCCCCGGCUAACUACGUGCCAGCAGCCGCGGUAAUACGUAGGGGGCAAGCGUUGUCCGGAAUUAUUGGGCGUAAAGGGUGCGUAGGCGGCCGACUAAGUCAGAUGUGAAAUACCAGGGCUCAACCUUGGGGGUGCAUUUGAAACUGGUUGGCUUGAGUGCAGGAGAGGAAAAUGGAAUUCCUAGUGUAGCGGUGAAAUGCGUAGAGAUUAGGAGGAACACCAGUGGCGAAGGCGACUUUCUGGACUGUAACUGACGCUGAGGCACGAAAGCGUGGGGAGCAAACAGGAUUAGAUACCCUGGUAGUCCACGCUGUAAACGAUGGAUACUAGGUGUAGGAGGUAUCGACCCCCCCUGUGCCGCAGUUAACACAAUAAGUAUCCCGCCUG